GCAAAUUUAACAAAGACAAAUAGGGGAAAAUCAAUGGUGGUAUUACACCUUCAAAUUCAGAUCUGAGAGUGUUUGAUGUUGGUAACUCCAGAAAGUGCCUUUGACGCAUGCAAUACAUAAACUGUUAUCUUUAUUAUAAAUUUUCUUGCAAUUCUAGGACAAGAUCCAUGUUCAGACUCUGGAACAGGAACAAUUUCGCGC
rnacentral:lncRNA from 1 species